CGUGUAGGCGGUUGGUCAAGUCGGGUGUGAAAGCCCGGGGCUCAGCCCCGGAAGUGCAUCCGAAACUAGCCAGCUAGAGCGCGAUAGAGGAGGGUGGAAUUCCUGGUGUAGCGGUGAAAUGCGUAGAUAUCAGGAGGAACACCGGCGGCGAAGGCGGCCCUCUGGAUCGUUGCUGACGCUGAGACGCGAAAGCGUGGGGAGCAAACAGGAUUAGAUACCCUGGUAGUCCACGCCUUAAACGAUGGGUACUAGGUGUUCGGGGUGUUGACCCCCUGAGUGCCGCAGUUAACGCAUUAAGUACCCCGCCUGGGGACUACGGCCGCAAGGUUAA
rnacentral:rRNA from 1 species